rnacentral:lncRNA from 1 species
UGGAGGUGAGCUGCCAGAGGAGCUUUUGACAAACCACAAUGGUCUAAAACAUUAAUGUGAAAUAGGAGGAAGACCACUUGCAAUACCUGGUUGGACAGCCUUCUUCAUUGGGAUUAAAACCCUGCUGUGUUAGCAUCCUCAUGAGGGACGUAGCAGAAGUCAAGAUCUAGAGUUUACCCUUGGAAGGAUGGAAUUUACAUACAGGAGAAAGAAUCCAGCAGAAGCCACCCUGAGUGAUAGAGGAUAUGCUAAACCGGUGUGAACCUUCUUUGCUACUUGAGGUGAGAGUGAAUGGAAUGGACAGCUGAUCUAUCCGUGGGAUUUCAGAGGCAACAUGGAAUGAUGGAUAAAGACUUGGAGUCAGAGUGAGAAGGAGGU